AGAGUUUGAUCCUGGCUCAGAGUGAACGCUGGCGGCGUGCUUAACACAUGCAAGUCGAACGAGAACGGGUAUUAGCUUGCUAAUAUUGUCAGCUAAGUGGCGCACGGGUGAGUAAUAUAUAGUUAAUCUGCCCCAAAGAAGAGAAUAAUUGUUGGAAACGACUUGUAAUGCUCCAUAUGCCUUUAAGACAUAAGUCUGCAAGGGAAAUAUUUAUAGCUUUGGAUGAGACUGUACGGUAUCAGCUAGUUGGUGAGGUAAUGGCUCACCAAGGCAAUGACACCUAACUGGUUUGAGAGGAUGAUCAGUCACACUGGAACUGAGACACGGUCCAGACUCCUACGGGAGGCAGCAGUGGGGAAUAUUGCACAAUGGAGGAAACUCUGAUGCAGCAACGCCGCGUGGAGGAUGACACAUUUCGGUGCGUAAACUCCUUUUAUAUGAGAAGAUAAUGACGGUAUCAUAUGAAUAAGCACCGGCUAACUCCGUGCCAGCAGCCGCGGUAAUACGGGGGGUGCAAGCGUUACUCGGAAUCACUGGGCGUAAAGAGAAUGUAGGCGGGUAAUUAAGUUGGAAGUGAAAUCCUAUGGCUCAACCAUAGAACUGCUUCCAAAACUGAUUAUCUAGAAUAUGGGAGAGGUAGAUGGAAUUUCUGGUGUAGGGGUAAAAUCCGUAGAGAUCAGAAGGAAUACCGAUUGCGAAGGCGAUCUACUGGAACAUAAUUGACGCUGAGAUUCGAAAGCGUGGGGAGCAAACAGGAUUAGAUACCCUGGUAGUCCACGCCCUAAACGAUGCACACU
rnacentral:rRNA from 1 species